ACCGAUCUCAGUUACACUGUGGCACUGUGCUAGUCAAGUUGGUAUUGCUAGCUGACUCGUAUCGAAAAUGUUUUUACGAUUAUUCAUUUUAACCUGCAUAAUUAGUUGUGUUGUGUCGCAAUUGGACAUCACUGGAGUGUUUGAUGCCGAUCACCCAUUUAACGAAUUACCCUGUAUGGUUAUUAAUGGGACAUGUCGAGCGACAGGAAAAUGUCCGCAGGGUACGCGAGUAACUACAGAAGGACUCUGCCCAUACCAGGAAAAUCGUGGGAUACAAUGCUGCCAUACUUCUACAGCGAAAUUAGUACCGCAGAGAACAUGUUUAUUAAAGGGAGGACAGUGUAUGGAGCCGGGGAUGCGAUGCCCUGAGAUAUUAACAAUCGAAGGAACUGAUUGCGCACGGAACUCAAUUUGCUGUGUUCUUAUUCGUUAAAUUAUUUAUAGUAUUUUAUAUUUUUAUUAUACCUUCCCAAACCUCGUAUGUCUUUUUUACGGGAUUGCGCUGCACCCAAAAAUCCUCUAUUACUGUGGACAAUUCAUGAAGACUACACAUACCAAAGGUAAAGGUAAAAAUAACAUUGAAAAAAGAAAUAGAUUAAAUCUCUGUGAUAUACUAAGCCUGUAUUACAAUAAUUUUAACUAUAAUUUAUAUCGUAAAAAUUUGGUUAAACAAACAUUACAUAUACAUAAUAAUAUUAUCCGAAGAUAAAUGAAGGUAGCUUGGCCAUUGCUAUGAACUACCCCGGUUUUAAGUAUGUAUCUAUCAAUCAAUAAAUAAUUGGUGAACGUAA